GAUGAACGCUGGCGGCGUGCCUAAUACAUGCCAGUCGAGCGAACAGACGAGGAGCUUGCUCCUCUGACGUUAGCGGCGGACGGGUGCGUAACACGUGGAUAACCUACCUAUAAGACUGGGAUAACUUCGGGAAACCGGAGCUAAUACCGGAUAAUAUAUUGAACCGCAUGGUUCAAUAGUGAAAGACGGUUUUGCUGUCACUUAUAGAUGGAUCCGCGCCGCAUUAGCUAGUUGGUAAGGUAACGGCUUACCAAGGCAACGAUGCGUAGCCGACCUGAGAGGGUGAUCGGCCACACUGGAACUGAGAAACGGUCCAGACUCCUACGGGAGGCAGCAGUAGGGAAUCUUCCGCAAUGGAGGAAAGCCUGACGGAGCAACGCCGCGUGAGGGAUGAAGGUCUUCGGAUCGUAAAGCUCUGUUAUUAGGGAAGAACAAAUGUGUAAGUAACUAUGCACGUCUUGACGGUACCGAAUCAGAAAGCCACGGCUAACUACGUG
rnacentral:rRNA from 1 species